rnacentral:rRNA from 1 species
AUACGGAGGGUGCGAGCGUUGUUCGGAAUUAUUGGGCGUAAAGCGCGUGUAGGCGGUUUGUUAAGUCUGAUGUGAAAGCCCCGGGCUCAACCUGGGAAGUGCAUUGGAUACUGGCAGACUUGAAUACGGGAGAGGGCAGUGGAAUUCCUGGUGUAGGAGUGAAAUCCGUAGAUAUCAGGAGGAACACCGGUGGCGAAGGCGACUUUCUGGCCCUAUACUGACGCUGAGACGCGAGAGCGUGGGUAGC